GACUGGGGUGUGGCAGAGGGAGGGGCUCCCUCUCCUCCAGGGGGCUCUGGGGGCAACUUCUCAAGCAGGGCGUGUGCUGGACUCUUGCCCCAGCCCUGCCCUGCAUUUGCCCACACUGCAUCCUCCUGGCCAUGCCAGUGGCUCAGUGGUGCUCCAGCCUUGCGCAGCCACCGCCUGCUCACAGGCCCGGCCCUUUGUGCCCACGCAUUGCCAUGGAGACGGCGAUUCAAAGGCCUGGCACUUGAAGUCUUCCCUCCUCUCCUGGCGGGCCGGGGCGGGGUAGCCGGGGUGGUUGCCCGAGCCGGCGGGUGUCACCCCCUCUCUCCGUCCAGCUGAACACCAGGCCCUGCCCGGACUAGCACACCCACUACCUUCCGCUCUGGUGCUGCGGCUGGCUCUGGGCCCCACCACAGGAACAAGGGUUCUUCUACAGGGACUGUAUUCAAAGUGGGAUACAAUGAGGGAAACUGAGGCACACUGGUUCCUGGGGGCUCUCUGCAGCCCGGCAUGGUGCUUAGAACACAAAGGUUGCAGUGUGCAGCAUGGCAGCCUUGUGACUCUGGACAAGUCCUCCCUGCCGCCAGCCCAAUCCGCCAUCUGCACAGUGGGCUGCUCCCUGCCUGGGUGCCUGCAGGGUCCCUGAGACUCUGGACAUGGGCCUGGGGAGAUGCUGCCCCUUCCUCCAUGACCCCCACACCGGAGAGCCUGGGGCAGGAAGGCGGGGUGGGCCGGCCCAGGCUCCUGAUACAGGACUUCACCUGUCCCACCACACCUCUGCAUGCCCUGUGUGUCCCCUGCCUCUGAGUCACUGUCCAGAGCGUGGCGGGGGGCCUGCAUCCUCUGUACCACUCACGCUUUUCAUCACCCUGUGACCCACCCUGAUCACCUCUUCAGACUCACGCAGCUGGAAAAGUCCACGGCAGGAUUUUCUGGCUGCAGCUGCCCCCUCACACCCUCCCUGGAGCGGCAGAGGGAUAGGUGGCCACUUGGGAUGAACUGCUCGCUCGCUGUGGCACUUGGGCAGGU
rnacentral:lncRNA from 1 species